rnacentral:sRNA from 1 species
UCGUCUCGGACACACCGUGAGCGGUGCAG